rnacentral:sRNA from 1 species
AUAGCUAUGGCAGCUUAGGCCGUACCUCUCUAGGAAUAUAGAUAUACUCCCUCCAUCCCAUAAUAUAAGGGAUUCUAGGGUCUGUCCAGAUUCGUUGUACUAGGAUGUGUCACAUCCACCCAAAUUCUCUUAUAUUAUGGGAUGGAGGGAGUAGGUAGAUAUGUGAAUGAGCUCAAAUUAGUUAUUUGUUAUUUUUGAAAGCUUUUAAAUUUGCAUGGAAUCAAACUGUGAAGCAAAUAAGAUAAAAACAAUGCUUUAGCAAUGAAGCAAUCGUCAAAUGUAGUAUAGAUAAAAUAUGUACCUGGAAUUAAAAACAUACCCCACACAGUGUCGGGUGUAUUGUAAAACUUACAAAAUUUUUAGAACUUAUUCUCAAUGAGUAAAAAUUCUCCAAGCCUGUGCUUGUCUAGAUUAAAAUACAAAACCUUCUUUAUUUAUUUCCUCUCACCACGGCCUUGGCCCAAAUAUAUUUCCUGAAACCAAACUCUACUAGUCAGUGAUUGUCUUCGAUCUCUUGCCUGGAUACCAUGCAUAGAAUGAACUCUCAUCUUUCCCUUUUUGUCUGUUAAGUGAUUAUUAUUAUUAUUAUUAUUAUUAUUAUUAUUAUUAUUAUUAUUAUUAUUAUUAUUAUUAUUAUUAUUAUUAUUAUUAUUAUUAUCAACUUUCCUUUAUUUGAGAUUUAAAACAACAAAACUAGGACUUCUGAAGAAAGAAAUAGAAGAUAAAAAGUUGAACUUCCUAAUUGUGAUAUUCUUAGUAAAGAAAGUGAAACCUGUUGAAACGCAUUUUUUUUAUAUAAUCUCAGUAUCAAACUGAAUAAUGUAUUAGAAUUUCACAUGCAAAAAUCAAAACUGAAAUCAACAGAAAAAUUAAUUGUUUCAUGGUUUUAAGUAUUUAUUUAAGGACUGGACUGAAACCCAACGAAAUGGAAGCUUUGCAGAAUUGGAGCAUGAAAAUAUAAAAGGAAAAGAAAUGCUGGUAUAACUUGAUCAUCAAGGAAUGAGUGAUGAACCUUAUCGAAGCAAACAACUUAAUUAGUUAAUUCCAGAACUUCAUGAUGAAAAAAGUGAAACUGUUAUUUUCCAUCCAUGAUUAAAAUUUGUAUGAUGUUGGGUUAUAUCUUUUCUGAUUUCACUCACACAUCACGCAUUGACAAUAUCGUUGUAUUCUUCACUGAUAAUUUACCAUAUAAAAUCUUUGUACAUGUACAGAUAGAGUAAAUUAUCUUUUUUUUGCAUGAUAAUUAUGGUGAUUAAUUGUGUACAAAAUAAUAUAUUUCAACUCAUUCUGGUGUUAAAUUAUACAUAAAUUAAUAUAUUUAUAAUUACUUUUAACUAUAGGCAAGGUUGUAAAUUUUUGGAGCAUGGGGCAUGUGACCUGUGAGGGCAUGUGCCUACUCUUUUCGUGUUUUAGUUUUAUUCACUAUGCUCCAUGCUCUGCUGUUUUUUCUUUAAAGUUCUUUCUAAUCCAUUUAUAAUUUGUCACAUAUACUGGAUAAAUUGCUUGCGCAUCUAAUUCUUUUAUCUUCUGUUUUUUUAGAUAGCAUAGACCAGAGUACCAUGGCACUUCUAGCACGGUGUGACUAAGUAGUUCCAGAUCUUGAUGGUACAACUUGGCUUCUUUUUGCUUGGGACAAAGAUCAUGCCACCGUAGCUGCAUUCACACUGUGUUGCCCCCUUCAUCACCUACUAGCAAGUGGCUCUUCUUCAAGACUUCAUAGUGAUGGCGAUGUUCGUCCCUAGCAUAUUCGCCUGCCUUGUUGCGCUAUCGGCUCAAAGCUAGCCACCAGAGAGUUGUCAGCGAUCGCUCCAUGAGUGAGGAGGAGAUUACUGGCCCUAAUGUUCAUCGCCACCGUCAUUUUGUUUGUGUCGGUGGUACUCGUAGGGUUCUUCUACUACUAUCUUAUUGAGUUGAGGGUGUUUGUCUUCGAUUGUCUAUUUAUGGCGACCAGACUUACAGUGUACAUCGCGUAUGCGUUAUUUAGAGCUUGAUGUGUCUUGGUCUACUAGGACAUGUUCAGUACUGUACUCUUUUCAGACUAGAGGUUCUACAUUUGGAGAGAUGCAGAAAAUGCUAGCAGCCAUGUUUGG